GGGGAAUAUUGCACAAUGGGGGAAACCCUGAUGCAGCGACGCCGCGUGAGUGAAGAAGUAUUUCGGUAUGUAAAGCUCUAUCAGCAGGGAAGAGAAUGACGGUACCUGACUAAGAAGCCCCGGCUAACUACGUGCCAGCAGCCGCGGUAAUACGUAGGGGGCAAGCGUUAUCCGGAUUUACUGGGUGUAAAGGGAGCGUAGGUGGCAAAUCAAGUCAGAUGUGAAAGCCCGGGGCUCAACCCCGGGACUGCAUUUGAAACUGAUAUGCUAGAGUGCAGGAGAGGUAAGUGGAAUUCCUAGUGUAGCGGUGAAAUGCGUAGAUAUUAGGAGGAACACCAGUGGCGAAGGCGGCUUACUGGACUGUAACUGACACUGAGGCUCGAAAGCGUGGGGAGCAAAC
rnacentral:rRNA from 1 species